ACGCUCGACACCUACGGGGGCAGCAGUAGGGAAUCUUCCACAAUGGACGCAAGUCUGAUGGAGCAACGCCGCGUGAGUGAAGAAGGUCUUCGGAUCGUAAAACUCUGUUGUUAGAGAAGAACACGAGUGAGAGUAACUGUUCAUUCGAUGACGGUAUCUAACCAGCAAGUCACGGCUAACUACGUGCCAGCAGCCGCGGUAAUCUGAGGCGGGCGUGGACGAGGC
rnacentral:rRNA from 1 species